rnacentral:tRNA from 1 species
AUUUAUAUAGUAUAUUUAUAAAUUACAUUUAACUUCCAAUUAAAAAAAUUAAUUAUUUAAUAUAAAUA